rnacentral:lncRNA from 12 species
CCACAGAAUUCUCUCUCUAGACUGAUGUGGAGGUGAAGAAUUGAAUCAGGAUGAUAACAUCUACUUCCUAAUUCUUUGGCCUUAUUCAUGGAUCUGAAAUGUUUGAGCUCACUCGUUCAGCUGUUCCUUUUGAAAUUCUUACUUAGAGCAAAGUGGCCUCUGGGUUCCCAGCCUGUCAAGCACAAUAAACUUCACUGACUGAUUCGGCUGGCUCAGUCCCACUGUUGGCUUCUAAUCUGUUUCCUUUGCAAUCAAUUGAAACUCAAAAUCAACCGAGUGCUGUAUAAACAGAGGCUUCAGAGGGAAGGUGCCAUUUUGCACUGAAAGGAUAAAAUAGAUCAACAUCUUUAAUUUAGAGUCUGCACACACAAGUCCUUGUUGAAAUCUCACCUGAGUUGCUACUGCAGCUACAAUAAGGUGAGAGUCAAUUGUUUGCCAUCCCUUAGUGUGCUGGCACAGUGUUGCUCUGACCUCUGAAAACUGCCACCUAGCCCUGGUGUUUUUGAUGCUGAAUGUGCUGGUGGAUAGAUAAUGGUCACCAUUUCAAACGAAUGACAAGUCUUCAACAGCCUGCUACACGGAGUUGUUUUAUCUUCUUGGCCCUGGUGGUCAUUUGUUUUUAUAAUUCCUUAUUUAAAAAAUUCUGUAACAGCAAAGGGAGUGGGAGAGAGCAUCAAUGA